UCCUCGUUGAUACGGGUCCGGGUCGCCUCGGACCCCUUUCUUGAUAUUUUUUGUUUUUUCUGAUUUUUUCAAAGCUUUUGGCUCCGAUGCCUCGAAAGUUUUUUGUGGAUGUUUUUCAAUGGUGUGGCUGCGGGAUUUCCUUUGCUCUGUCGAGGAUGGUGGCAGUAUCCUCCUUGUUUCUAUUUUCUGUGAUCAGCAUAGAGGGUCGACAAUUCCAUUCUAAUGCAUGCAGUGGCGAGACUUGGUGGUCUUCUCUUCUUCCUUUUGUUCUGAUUUUUCUCGUGAAGCAUCCGACUGUGGCGGUGCUGCGGCAUUGGCGUUAGAGUUGCGGUUCAACUGCGAUGUACAUGGUGUUCCCAUUACGGUCCGUGGUUUGGUUUGUAGUCGACGACAACAGCGUGGUGAAUGCGGAAGAUCAAGGGGUUGUUUCUUUCAUUUUUUCUACUUCGAUGCAGUUGGGUAGAGCUGGAGAGGGCGGACGGUUGACGAUUCGACUUUCUUUAGUUUCGUGGUUCUUCUUGUUGUUGGAGUGCUGUGGUACAACAUUCCUUCUAGCUUUGUUUGUUUGUUUGUUAUUUUUUGUUUUGGGUGCGGCAAAUCCACACACUAGUUACGAAUCGGGGUCUCUACUCUAACGAUGAUUGUUGCCCCCUUCUUGUGUUCAAAUGUGUAUAGAGCGUCGCAAUUUUAAGGGAGUAGGCGUAGGUUCUUAUGUUUUUUUUUCUGUCCAUCUUUUUAAGUCUACAUUGGUGCAUUGGCUGCACGGUGUUCUGCAAAGGAGAUAGUACUUGGGGUGCACUCAAGUGGCGGUUCUUCCUAUUGGUUUGAUUCGAAUUGGACGAUUGGCGGCAGUGCGAUCGACGGCCUGGUGCCGUGGUGGCUUGCAGUCAACUAUGGUGCUUUUCAAGAGUGCGACGGUACCAAAGUUCGCAAAGUCGUAGUUGGAGCUGCAUUGAAGCGUGGUUUUUUGGUGUGUACAGCAUCACUUCUUCCGAGGAAACGUUGAUCUUCUUAUUGGUUGCAUCAUUUUCGGUGUUCUGGGCAUGGAUUAAUGGUGCUCUAGUGCUGCUGAUGUGCGUCAAGUGAGUGGCACCGGAUUUUUAUUCAACUACAGAGACAUGAUCCUUCUGGUGUCACAGAAGUAUCUAAUUCUGUGCUGAAGCGGCUGUAGCUACCAUUCUAGCGGAACGUUGCAGUUAGCGAGCGGCGGCAUAUUUGGAGUGUAGCUCGUCGUACUGCGUAUCAUCGUCUCAGGGUGGAUUGUCAAGUGGAUACCACCCAAGCUGUUAAUGUGAUCAAUCGGAUCAACCCCUUGAUGGACUGCUGUACAAUACCUCGAACGCUGGUGAAUAGCAGAGACUUAGAGUUACAGAGCUCGUAAGAGAAGUAGGAGCGUAGUUGUAGCAUAUCAGUGAAAAUAUUUAGUAGACAUACCCGUGCUCACGAAGUUAUUCAAUUGCACUUUUCGUUGGUCAACAGUUGGCCUACAUCAAACAACGGAGAAGUCCAGGGUUUGUAAAGGACCGGAGGAUCUGUCUGUAGGACUCGAGCCUGCGUGGAAGUGUUACCUGUGUGGAGGGAUUGAAAAGUUGAGGCUGGCAAGAGAGUAUUACGAAUUGAGUGAUUUUUCGUAGUGGGUAUAGGCUGAGUUCACUUGGAUCAGUUCCCGCUGCUGCAAUUGUAUUUAAUCACACUUAGGUGGCCAAUUCACUUGUUGUGAACUAGAAUAAACUUCCAACUAGUGGAAGUUUAUUUAAGCUCACAGCAUUGCAGCUGAGAGGUUGUACUACGAGAAUGGAGGAGCUUUGAACGAAGCGCCACGGUCUUCAUCUUCCGUUAUUGUUAGUUAGAAUUUAUGAUCGAGCCUACAAUGUAAGAUAUCCAAGUGAGCAGCGAGUGAUGGAUCUCAUGGUGGAGUUUGCCAUGCAAUGCAAGGGUCUCAAGAAGCCUACAGGAGGACUCAAGUAUUUCAUUUGCAUUCAUUGUGGGAAGUCCACAUUUUUCAAUAGAUGAGGAGCGGGCUGCUGACUUUGUUGGAUCAUCUCUCUUGAAAAAAUAGAAAGCCAGAGUCACAAAGGGUGAAGCAUUCAAGGUAAUAGAGAAGGUUACUCUUGCAGCUAAUUUAUUCUUUGGGGCAGCACCACCAGAGGCAAAGAAGGCUGUUCUUAAAGAGAAGAUGAAGAAGAAAGGCCCAUCUACUACUGAGGAUAGAUCGAAAACAAGAGAAUGAAGAGGACUUUUCACCCCCGCAAAAGGUGGUGCAACCUGGUAGGAUGGGCCGGGGAUUAAUGGAGGUUACAACAGCGGCCCUCGACACAAACUUGCAAGCACUAGAAAGUACAUAGUUGCAAGCACUAGAAAGGCACCCAUCAUGGCAAGAACUAGACAACAUGGGGAGUCAGCAUUUCGAUCGUAGGCUUGGAGUCCAUAAAACGACAAAGAGGGAGUAUGGGGGUGUUGUUCUGGAUUUUCAAACAUUGCCCCACGAGCUACAAGUUAUGCAUUGUUACAGACAUAUAUAUUUAUUCUAAUAAUUAUAUAUAUGAUUAAUAUAUCAUUACAAGGACAAAUGUAAAAAAAACAUAAUAAACUACAAUAAU